UAGAACAGUGGCAAACAUGUCGCUCAACCACUUAGUUUCUAUACUUCUCUAAAACUGUACAGCCUGUAGGUGUACAGGCACACUAGGCCAAAGGUCACAGGAUGUGAGUGUUAACAGCUAUUGCAGUAAUUGGCCCAUUGACAGAAUGACACGGUCUCACAGCGAUCCAUCUGCCUGCUGUGACCAUGAUUAUUAGUGUGACCCGAGGGUGUUGAGUUAUGACAACGUCUUUCUUGUAGUUCCUCUUCCCUUUGGUGGCCAGUGAUGGAUGGAGAAACUGAUGUCGGGAAUCCUCUGGGAACCUCCGCAAUCACCGGAAAUGAUGAGGAAUGAUGAGGAAUGAUGACAGCUGUAUGGAAGCAUUCCAGGCACCAGGAGGAGCCUGCCUGUCUGGACAGCACUUCCAGCCACCCUCGCUCCCUCUCUUGGCCUCGUGUUCCAACUUCCAUCCGUGACGUGUGCUGACCUGUCCCCCCUCCAUUCAGUGACCAAGGAGGUGAGCCAGGAGAGGAGAGCAGGCAGUCCAUGGACAAUGAAGAGACAGGCGCUGACAACCCUCUGCUGAAUGGAGAUGCCAGUGGCCAAGGAGAGGAAGGUGUUCUAGGAAUGGAGGAUGGAAAGCUGUCAGACAAUGACAGAGCAGACACUGAAAUCUGUCAGAAGACACAUGCUGAUUCCCAUCCAUUGAAUGUACCCAAGGUUGUCAGGUAAAAUCUCCACAUGAGGACUCCUUUGGUAGAUCGUCAUUGUCCAUUGAAUGACAAUCUCAUUUCUCCCUUCAGGACCGAGUUUGGGAAACCCUGUUAUCUCUUUAGGGGACAGUAUUAUGGUGGAUCAUGAAUGUGAAUGUUGAUGUCUUAUUACUCCAACAGGGUUAACGAUGAGACUAAGGAAGCGACUCCUGGUGCACAGAGUCCAGGACCACCUCAGAUGAAUGGAGGACCUCCCAUGUCUAACAGAGCUGCAGAGGAGACCACUGCUCUAUUGGACAAACAGGCCUUGGACAAGGACCAAGUCACCAAACCUCGUGAGUUAAUAGACCAAGGACCUAAUGACAUGGAGUCAAGUAGAGGAGAACUGUAACAAACGGUGGACGUUUGUAUAACAAAAGAAAACCUAACACCAUAUGAUAAGACACAGUAAUACUGUAUAUAAUAUACAUAUUAUAAGAUACACAUUUGUGACUUGCUUCAUCAUAAUCAGUCAUGUCAACCCCAAGGCACAUUCUGAAAAGUGUAUUUUACUACUCAUUUGACACUCUAGAUGAUAUUACAUCAGACUUUAUUUAAACCACUGUUUUCAUACGAAAGCACGAUUGGUCAGUUCAAACAGGAUGUUCUCUUUAUAAUGCAAUAUAGGAGCAUUAAUAACACCUUCUAUUCAUAAUGCAUCAGGAUGCACAACAUAGGUGCUAAUAACUGCUCAUGAACAUCUAUAACUGCAUAAAGCAUUAUCACCAGGAUGUGUAAUGCCUCAUGAAGAAAAGUAUUACUAUGCCAGAUGCCACAUUAGGAUCGUUAUAUUAUACAUUAUGUGCUCAUUAAGCUAAAAAGUAGUAAGCGAUUGCAAAGUUGCUAAUUAGCAAAAAUGCUAAAAUAUCCCGUGAUGAUAUUCGAACACGCAACCUUUGGCUUGUUAGACGUUCACGUUAUAAGUCCACCCAUCCGAAACCAAAGCAUGGAUUACUGUCUGAGCUUGUCCAUAGACUGCUUACAGCUUUAAGAAAGCUAAAUACAUGUUUUAAUUAGGGUGAACUGUGCCUUUAACAGGAGUGCGGAACUCCUACGUGAAGUCGUUACAGUAUAGACCUCUGACGCAAUUUCCUAAAGAGUCUUUCAUGAGGUCAUACCACUUAGCUUCAUAAUCAUAAGGCAUUAUACUGCCUACUUAAAAUGCUGAAGGAAUAUAGACAUGUAUUAGCCAUUAGUGCCUAUGUCAUGCAAUAUGAUGUAUAAUGCAUAGAUUAUAAGGUGUUAUAAAUACACUUAUCACACAUUAUGAAGAGGGUAUUCAUAGGAAGUGUUACCCACAGGUCUUGCAGAAGGAACUGUACCCCACACCCCCACCUACUAGUGACAUUGUGAAAAAUACCACAACUUUAGACAGGAAUUGUGUAGCUAUGUUGACAUUUGUGUUCACCGUUUAAUUAGAAUGUUUAUUUCAGUCAGAGUGUCGGUCAGGUCAAAUGACUUAGGCGAAUGACAUACCCACAUACAUUGACACCUUAUAACCUUAGUGUCAGAAAAGGUUCAUUUUCUUCAUCUUUUGAUUAUGUUCAUUUGACUUAUUUGUAAUGUAUUUGAUGUCCUGUCUGUGGGUUGGUCCCAUACUGUUAUGAGUGGCUUUCACCUGAUGCUUUUAUGGUUAGUUACCUUACACAUGUAUUUAGUUUCAUUUAUGACUUCUUCAUGACCAAUUUACACUCAGUGUACAGAACAUUAAGAACGUGACAGACUGACCAGGUGAAUCCAGGUGAAAGCUAUGAUCCUGAAUUGAUGUCACCUCUUAAAUUCAUUUCAAUCAGUGUAGAUGAAGGGGAGGAGACAGGUUAAAGAAGUUUUUUUUAAGCCUUGAGACAUGGAUUGUGUAU
rnacentral:lncRNA from 13 species